UACAGAGGAUCCAAGCGUUGUCCGGAUUUAUUGGGUUUAAAGGGUGCGUAGGCGGAUAAUUAAGUCAGUGGUGAAAUCUUGCGGCUCAACCGUAAAAUUGCCAUUGAAACUGAUUAUCUUGAGUACAGUUGAGGUGGGCGGAAUGUAUCAUGUAGCGGUGAAAUGCUUAGAUAUGAUACAGAACACCUAUUGCGAAAGCAGCUCACUAAACUGCAACUGACGCUGAGGCACGAAAGCGUGGGGAUCAAACAGG
rnacentral:rRNA from 1 species